rnacentral:rRNA from 1 species
CAGUAGCCGCGGUAUACGUAGGGCGCAAGCGUUGUCCGGAAUUAUUGGGCGUAAAGAGCUCGUAGGCGGUCUGUCGCGUCUGGUGUGAAAUCCCGAGGCUCAACCUCGGGCUUGCAUCGGGUACGGGCAGACUAGAGUGCGGUAGGGGAGACUGGAAUUCCUGGUGUAGCGGUGGAAUGCGCAGAUAUCAGGAGGAACACCGAUGGCGAAGGCAGGUCUCUGGGCCGCAACUGACGCUGAGGAGCGAAAGCAUGGGGAGCGAACAGGAUUAGAUACCCCGGUAGUCCCUGUCUCUUAUACC